rnacentral:lncRNA from 1 species
CUAGGAGGCAGGGGAAGGUGCGGAGAUCUGACGUGUGACUCAUCCACCAUUUGUUUAUUCAAAUACCCAAGAACCUACUUAGGCAUGGGGUAUAUAAACCAUAAAAUCUCUUGCCUCUGUCCAAGUUACCUUAUCUGCAUUGACCAAGAGCACCGAGUAGGGGCCGUGUUGAGAAGACAGAACACAUUCAACACUGGCAACAUGGGAGAGGUAUCUUUGAGUCAUCCAAAUACUUAAGAACAACCAGGCAGCUAAGCUUAGACAAGUCUAGGCUGGAACUGGAAGUCUGGGGAUUCUUAACAUUUCAUGCCUGAAGCCUGGGCAGAGGAGACUGGAAAUCACCCAGGGAGUGAACAUAUAGUAAAAGGGGUCUGGGCAGAGCUCCUAAGUAUGAUAACACGUAAAACACCACUUACAGGAGGAUGAGCUGCCACAGGACACUCAGUACCAGUCAGGGAAGGGGAGAGGUUCCACUGACCUUGCUUCAGGUUUAAAUCACAUUUUCAGCUAAUGUUUCCUUUAUAUUUGCUGUUGAUAUACCAACUUCUACCAUCCCUGAGAGUGAUCACUAAAAUUAACGACAGAAAAAUGCCACAACUCAUUCCUCACAGUAACCUCUGACACCCAGAGGGAUCCAGGUUAGGCAUGGUUGGAGUCCUCAAGGAGUAAAGAGGCUGAAAACAGUGGGAGGAAAGACAUGCUGAAAUGACCC